UCCCGGGGGAGGUUUGUGUCUCCUGUGACCAGGUGAUAUGGAUUCCAGGGCUCCACCCCCAUGGAAAAAUGUGAAGGAUGAUGGGAGUCCAAGCCUCUGAAGAACCCCCGAAGUCCUGGGUCCCCUCAAGAAGGCCAAGGAACUCCAAGGGAAAUGUCUGGGUUUGCGCCAGAUGCCUUCCACCUGGCUAAUGACUUGAUCUGAGAGAUGUGAUCCUAGGCAAAAUAUGCAAGGAAUGAGAUUUGACUGAUGUUCGGGAAGCAGAGUUCCAGGUAGCUGCAGGACCAGCAAGAUCAUGCUCGCUGUGCCAGGGCAUUUGGCGCUUCCUCCACUCGCAAGAAAUUAGAUCUGCAUAGUUGUGGGUUGUAAGGCUGGUGCUGAGCUCUGGAAAUGGGGCGAGGUGUUGCAGGCAGGUCGACCAGCCUAUGCUGGUGCCCCUUGGCCCAUGGGUCUGACUUGGACUGCUGUGAGGAACAGGAGAUGUUGUCUGAGCCUGACGCCAUCCUUUGUGGUCCCUGUGUUUGUACUUUCCAUUCUCAAUUUUUCUGAGUCUCUCCUGGAACUGAGGACUGGAUGUAUGGUGAAGGCACCAUAGCUCUCCAGCUGUCCCACGUGUAUCUUGGUCAUUGGAACUUUAAGAUUGUUAUAAGUCCCCUCUCUGGAGCUGGGGACAAGUCUUGGGUGGCCUAGAAGAGGAGGCAUGUGGAGGUUGUUUCCUGCACUCCACGUCUAAUGAUGGGAACUGAGAUGACCCGGGCCCACAAGACCACCAGCAAUGUGCUCUUGUUAUCUUGGAGACCCAUAUCCAUCCUGAAGCCAUAUUUGUCAAUGGUGCCGCAUUACCCUAUGAUAAUUUUUAGUUUUUUUGUUUGUUUGUUUGUUUUCCGAGCUCUGUGCGAAAUGGUCCUGGGAGCAUUCAGGUCGUGGAGCCUGAGGCAGACUUUGGAGGCCAUCUACAAGAACGGGAUUGUCCAGGUGGUGGCUCUGUGAGGGUGGGGAUCGACUGCCGGAAGAUAGGACCAGCAACUAUGUGGGGAAGUGGCCACUUCCAUCCCCUCCUCAUCUGGUCUCUCACUGCUGAGAAAUUUGUGGUUCCACCAACACAUGAAGGUUCCCUCCACUUAAGAUAAUUCACCCACAAUGUUGUAGGCAAACUAAGAAGGAGGAUGCUAAGGGCCUGGCCAUAGUCCCACAUGGGAUCCAAUAGUCUUAGGUGCCUAACAAAGUUUUCUAUCUCUUAGAAUAGUGGACUGGCAUUGGCCAUCCUGAGAGGGUCAAGGAGGAGAUUCUAAGCCUGGCAGUGGUCCUGCAGUGUCUAUGGUUGUCAGAGGCUCCUCCAGGGAAUUUUAAGUCUCAUUCCAGAGAUAGGGAACAGCCUCUGCAGGCUCAGGCCUUGGAGGACACCCCAAGUUGAGAAAUAGGACCACUGGUAAACUGGAACAAGGUCCGGUUUCCAGUCUGGUGGCAGUGCACCUUCACCUCCCUGCUAUUUGGAUCCUUUCCAGUGAUGAUUGCACUAUUUGCGUGUCACCUGGAGGCUGUCCCACAAGGUCAACCAGAUUUCCAAAUGGCAGUUGGGAGGAAGGAAAAAGUGAAAUGUCUGAAGAAUUUUUCUGCUAUAAUUGACAUUUGGUAUGAAGUAAACAUAAGCAAGACGAGAAAUCCUGAUGUUUAUGGUAAUAACAAUUACCGUUUUCCUUGUUACUCAUCAUUAUUGUAAUUAUUACUAUUGUUUGCAGCUAAUUAUAAAAACACUGAAUAAAAUGUCUCUUCACAGAGUAACUGACUGAAGACUAUGGAAGAGUUUCCUUAUGUCUAAUUUCUUAAAUCCCCUUGUGAGCCAGGGAACUCACCCCAACCCUUGAAGGCCUGAUAACAAUCUGCAACAGCCAUCCCAGAAAG